UCCCUCUCAGGAUCACACCUGGAGAGUUUCCAGUACUCUACCAGUCUCAGCUACAGGAGGGAAAAUCAGGCAGAGGCAUAUCCAUUCCAUUCCUAGCUUGGGCAGUGGCUAGCGAGUGGAAGGCAAUCUGCCACAGGU